AAAAAAAAAAAAAAAAACAAACAGCAUGUUUUGGUUUCAGCUACGUUGUGGGCUUGUUUGAUGUCUGUGCUGUUUUUUUUUUUUUUUUAAGUGGUUGUGCAAGAGUAAGAGGAUGGCUUUAGUGUAACUGUCAAGAGUAAGAAGGUCAUGGGUGUGAGCCAUGAAAACAGCAUUUCUGCUAAGUAAGGAUAAUGCUGCGUCCAACAACCCUUCCUAGAGCCUAUAAGUGUAGGAAACUUAGUGCACUGGUCAACCUUUUUUGUGCAAUAGUAAAAAAAUUGUCUGUGAGAAACGAAUUGAGCAGAAAAGUAAAAGCCACUUUUAUGA
rnacentral:misc_RNA from 1 species